rnacentral:rRNA from 1 species
GUCGAACGGGGUUAUCAUUUUUGAAGCGAUUAGCUUGCUAAGAGCCGUUAAGUUGAUAACUUAGUGGCGGACGGGUGAGUAACGCCUGGGUAACCUGCCUUACACAGGGGGAUAACACUUAGAAAUAGGUGCUAAUACCGCAUAAGCGCACAGUCCCGCAUGGGACAGAGUGAAAAACAUUAGUGGUGUAAGAUGGACCCGCGUCUGAUUAGCUUGUUGGCGGGGUAACGGCCCACCAAGGCGACGAUCAGUAGCCGGCCUGAGAGGGUGGACGGCCACAUUGGGACUGAGACACGGCCCAAACUCCUACGGGAGGCAGCAGUGGGGGAUAUUGGACAAUGGGGGAAACCCUGAUCCAGCGACGCCGCGUGAGUGAAGAAGUGUUUCGGUAUGUAAAGCUCUAUCAGCAGGGAAGAAAGAAAUGACGGUACCUGAGUAAGAAGCCCCGGCUAACUACGUGCCAGCAGCCGCGGUAAUACGUAGGGGGCAAGCGUUAUCCGGAAUUACUGGGUGUAAAGGGAGCGUAGACGGUAAUGCAAGUCUGGAGUGAAAGGCGGGGGCCCAACCCCCGGACUGCUCUGGAAACUGUGUAACUGGAGUGCAGGAGAGGCAGGCGGAAUUCCUAGUGUAGCGGUGAAAUGCGUAGAUAUUAGGAGGAACACCAGUGGCGAAGGCGGCCUGCUGGACUGUAACUGACGUU